rnacentral:rRNA from 1 species
UACGAAGGGGGCUAGCGUUGCUCGGAAUUACUGGGCGUAAAGCGCACGUAGGCGGAUCGCUAAGUCAGGGGUGAAAUCCUGGAGCUCAACUCCAGAACUGCCUUUGAUACUGGCAAUCUCGAGUCCGGGAGAGGUGAGUGGGACUGCGAGUGUAGAGGUGAAAUUCGUAGAUAUUCGCAAGAACACCAGUGGCGAAGGCGGCUCACUGGCCCGGUACUGACGCUGAGGUGCGAAAGCGUGGGGAGCAAACAGG